UACGGGGGGAGCAAGCGUUGUUCGGAUUUACUGGGCGUAAAGGGCGCGUAGGCGGCAAUUCAAGUCAGCUGUGAAAUCUCUGGGCUUAACCCAGAACGGCCAGCUGAUACUGCUUUGCUAGAGUGCAGAAGGGGCAAUCGGAAUUCUUGGUGUAGCGGUGAAAUGCGUAGAUAUCAAGAGGAACACCUGAGGUGAAGACGGGUUGCUGGGCUGACACUGACGCUGAGGCGCGAAAGCCAGGGGAGCAAACGGG
rnacentral:rRNA from 1 species